CCUAUGGGGGGCAGCAGGCGCGAAACCUCUGCAAUGCGGGAAACCGUGACAGGGGGAUCCCAAGUGCUCAUGCAUUGCAUGGGCUGUUCUUUGGUCUAAGUAACCAGAGGAGUAAGGGCUGGGCAAGACCGGUGCCAGCCGCCGCGGUAAUACCGGCAGCUCAAGUGGUAGCCGCGAUUAUUGGGCCUAAAACGUUCGUAGCCGGAUAAGUAAGUCUUUGGUUAAAUCCUGCGACUUAACCGUGGGAAAUCUAGAGAUACUGCUUGUCUUGAGACCGGGAGAGGUUGGAGGUACUCCCAGGGUAGGGGUGAAAUCCUGUAAUCCUGGGGGGACCACCUGUGGCGAAGGCGUCCAACUGGAACGGGUCUGACGGUGAGGGACGAAACCUAGGGGAGCGAGCCGGAUUAGAUACCCCCGUAGUCC
rnacentral:rRNA from 1 species